GAUGAACGCUAGCGGCAGGCCUAACACAUGCAAGUCGAGGGGUAGCAGGAUUAAGCUUGCUUAAUUGCUGACGACCGGCGCACGGGUGCGUAACGCGUACGCAACCUACCUUAUACUGGGGUAUAGCCCGGAGAAAUUCGGAUUAAUCCCCCAUAGUACUAAUGAAUCGCAUGGUUUAUUAGUUAAAGCAUUGCGGUAUAAGAUGGGCAUGCGUCCUAUUAGCUAGAUGGUGAGGUAACGGCUCACCAUGGCUACGAUAGGUAGGGGGCCUGAGAGGGUGGUCCCCCACACUGGUAAUGAGACACGGACCAGACUCCUACGGGAGGCAGCAGUGAGGAAUAUUGGUCAAUGGGCGCAAGCCUGAACCAGCCAUGCCGCGUGCAGGAAGAAUGCCCUAUGGGUUGUAAACUGCUUUUAUUUGGGAAUAAACCUCUUUACGUGUAGAGAGCUGAAGGUACCAAAUGAAUAAGCACCGGCUAACUCCGUGCCAGCCGCCGCGGUAA
rnacentral:rRNA from 1 species